rfam:Neotoma lepida isolate 417 scaffold_751, whole genome shotgun sequence.
GCCCAGCUAGCUCGGUUGGAAGAGCAUGGGACUCUUAAUCUCAGGGUCAUGGGUUCAAGCCCCACAUUGGGUG